UGUUCUGAAUGGAAAAGAGCAGCUUGGACCUUUCAUCUUCUAAAGAAGAACUCUAAGCUCUUGAGAGAGCUGAAGAAUUUAGACUCGAGGCAGUGUCGAGAGACGCACAAGAUUGCCGUGUUCUACAUUGGAGAAGGCCAGGAGGACAAAUACUCCAUUCUGUCCAACACAGAGGGCAGUCAGGCCUAUGAGGACUUUGUCUCUGGGCUGGGAUGGGAGGUGAAUCUGGCCACUCACUGUGGGUUUAUGGGUGGUUUGCAGAGAAACGGCAGCACAGGUAGCACGGCACCAUAUUACGCUACCUCCAACGUGGAGGUCAUCUUCCAUGUGUCGACUCGCAUGCCUUCUGACUCAGAUGACUCCAUCACCAAAAAGCUUCGUCACUUGGGAAACGAUGAAGUGCACAUUGUGUGGUCGGAGCACACGCGGGAUUACAGACGAGGAAUCAUUCCCACCGACUUCGGAGAUGUCCUCAUCAUCAUCUACCCCAUGAAAAACCACAUGUUCUUUGUUCAGAUCUUGAAAAAAACCCAGGUUCCUUUCUUUGGGCCUCUGUUCGACGGGGCGAUAGUGACUGGAACGCUGUUGCCGAGUCUGGUGCGGGCCACAUGCAUCAAUGCCAGCAGGGCUGUGAAGUCUCGACUGCCACUAUACCAGAGUUUGUAUCCUUCAACUUUAUGGUUGGUAACCAGUUAUCUGUGAGAUCACAGCGUCCUGUAUGUGAUUUGACACAAAUUUUGUGCUUGUAGGUAGAAGACACUCCACUCUGUAGUUCCUUAAUGCUGUGAAUCCUUCUAGUUAACAUGACUUCCGCUGAAAAUUGAC
rnacentral:lncRNA from 1 species